rfam:Schistosoma rodhaini strain Burundi genome assembly, scaffold: SROB_scaffold0005205
AUCCAACUGACGGAUCCUUAAUAGGACGAAACGUGAGUCGUGGAU